rnacentral:rRNA from 1 species
GUAACGCGUGAGGUAACCUGCCUUCAANAGGGGGAUAACAUUCUGAAAAGAAUGCUAAUACCGCAUGACAUAUCGGAACCACANGGUUUUGAUAUCAAAGAUUUAUCGCUUGAAGAUGGACUCGCGUCCGAUUAGUUAGUUGGUGAGGUAACGGCUCACCAAGACCGCGAUCGGUAGCCGGACUGAGAGGUUGAACGGCCACAUUGGGACUGAGACACGGCCCAGACUCCUACGGGAGGCAGCAUG